AUGAAUCUGCCCUCUUCUCCCGCCCUCCCGAUCCGCCCCUCCCUAAAUCUCUUUGGGAGACCUUUUGUCGUGAAGAAAAGUAAGACAAACGAAUCCCAUGAAUUUAAACCCAACAGGAAAACGAUCUUGAUUUUUUUUAAUGAUGUAAUGAUUGCAAAUUGUCUGAUCUGUGGAGUGGCAAAAAGGUUUUUUUUUUUGUUUUCUUUUUUUUUUUUUUUUAAGCACACCGUUACCUUCGGUCUCGUGUCUGCCCCACAGAAUAGCUGAUUUUUUUUUUUUAAAGAAAGAAAUUGCUUUUAUUUCACAGUUUAAAAACAGUGGGGGACAUGCUUCACUUUUUUUUCUCUCUCUGGCACCUUGUUAAUUUCCUGCUUCGUUGCCGGCAGUCAAGGCGGUUUCCUCUCAGACUUUGUACGUUGCAUUAGUAAGUUCUUCUUUUUUCUUUUUUUUUUUCCUGUCUGAUCUGGCGAUAAAACGUAUCCCAGACCAUCGAGCCAAAAUAAUGAGCUUUAUUCGGCUGCGGGAGUAUAAAAUUGUAGCUAGGACCUUCAGCUUCUGUGCCAUAUAAUAAUGUCUCUGGGGUGAGUCCUGCCUCCCCUUCCUCCCCGUACAUCUUGACUGCAAGAAUAUGUGCCGAAAGGGUUUACCCUAGAUGACAUCGUCAGAGGGAAACCCAGUUUGCGACAGCGCAAAAACAAGCCGUCUUUUGGUUCCCGCGUUCUUUCGUUGCUUUUUUUUAUUCUCUUAGUUUCCUUCCCUCUGAAAGUUCUGUUUGAGACUGUGAUUUAUUAUUUUUUUUUAAAUUAUUGUUCUACACGUAGUUUGCUACAUGUGCUAUACUUUCGUUUGUUGACUACCAACCAAGCAAUAGCUAUCAAGCCUGAGGGAAGUGCCUGAUUGCAUUUUUUUUUUUUUGUUUUGUUUUGUUAUCCUUUUUUUUUUCUUCCUGUUUUCUAAUUUAGUGUUUAAGGAAAAAAAAGAAAAAGAAAAGAAGAAGAAGAAAGUUAAAAAUUUGCUUCUCACCCAACGUGAGAAAAAAUCCCUUCGGUGGGAAUCCGAAAAUCUGCGCCAGGUUUUGGGCCGGAAGGAAGAUUUGAGGUUUUGACUCAUUCUCUUGGAUCGUUUGUGUGCGCGCGUGUGUGUGUGUGUAUAUAUGUAUGUGUGUGUGUUUUGCAAAUUAACCCUUUGGGAUUGGGAAAAAUCUUGACCCAGUGUUUGGUCGGGGUAGGGUUAAGAUGGUGUCUGCAUUCUGAGUCAAACUGAAGCAACCUUUUAUUUUUUAUUUUUUAUUUUUUCGCCUUGUUGGUCCUAAAAAGUAUUGGAAAGGUCUUGUCAGCUCUUGGCGUGAUUGCAGCCACAUCAGGGGAGGCCUUUGAAUGACAGUGCCAAGGCUGGUGUGAUUGGCAGCUGCUGCCAUCCCUCCUCCCAUCUUCUUGACCCCGUUCUCUCUCUCUCUCUCUCUCUCUCUCUCUCUUUCUCUCUCUCUUGGAAGCCGGCUCACUCUGGGGGUGGCCAGGAACGUGCGUGAAAAGGAGCCCAGCCAAAGGGACCUGUGGAAUAGAGGCGGUUUUAUAGGUGUAGCUUUGAAGUGGACCAGGUCAGAGGGGUCCCCUUUUUGGAGAGGCUGAGUGCCAAAUGUGUGCCCUGCUCCGAGCCAGUGCCAAACCAGUGCCAAACUUUUGCCAGUCUUUUCGGAAAGCAGAUGGCCGCAGGACCCAACUAGGGGAAUCGAGAGAAAUUAGCCGGUCUCCCUCUCUUCUUCCGGAGAUCCCCCGGGUAGCUAAGCAGCAACACAAUAUAAGCAUCUCGCAACUGCCAACCGUCAACAUUUACAGAUGCCGCGAGAAACAGCCUUUUUUUUUCACCAAUGGGACAAACGGGCCGAUCCCCGGAAAAGGAUGGGAGCCUCCGAUGUGCUUCCCCCCCCCUUUUUUUAAAUGUUUUUUUGUCACGUUGCAACGGGCAACACGAGUGGACUUCCGCGCAUGAGAUGUUAAUGAAGGGUUUGAGGGGGCGUGUUUUGCUUCGACAACGACAACACUAAUUUCGCAUGGACGUUUGCAGCAUUCCAGCGGGGGGGGGGGGGGGGGGGGGGGGGGGGGAGCGGGGGUGCUGCCUUUGGCUUUCUGGGAUCGCCCCCCCUUUUUUUUGUGGAACACUACAGAAAGAAGCCGGGGCAGGGAGAGCUGCAUUUUUUGGGGAGGUGGGGUGAGUCCCUCCCGCUUACCCUUGCAUUGUAUCAACAACACACGGUGAAUGAGAAGUUACUAAAAUUGGGAGAAAGUAACCUUCAGUUACUACAGAGUAACUACACAAAAGGGCUCGUUGGGUUGAUGGGGGGGGCGGGCGGGAAGAAACGGAGCUAUUUUCCAAUGUCACCAACAUUCCUGACUUUUUCUUAAUUGUGUUGAUCUAAAAUGUCUUGUGGGGGGGGGACUGUGUUUUAGGGAUUUGGGGCAGGGGAAACGAAUGGAUUCCCCCCGAUAGGCAGAGGAAUGUCGAAUUUUGUCUUCUCGCCCAAAGACCCACCAGACUUGACUUUCCGUAAGGGGAAACACUGUCCUCGCAAAGGUGCCAUGACUUUAAACUCUCGGGAAGCCCCCUCCCUGGAAGUGUUUUUUCUUGGAUGGCGUGACGAGACCCUGCCCUCUGCGGCGGGCUUUCACUGCAGGCCUUGGACCCCGGGAGACUCGGAUCGGGAGCGCCUGGCCCGUCACUCUCGGCAUCGCCUUUCCAGGAAAUGGGCCUCCAUCCCGGACCGCCGUGCCUGCCCGAGCGGGCCCUUCCUCCGUAAGCCGCUGGGGAGCCGCGUGGAGAUGGUGUGCGGGGGGUGCUCUUCUUUUCUCGCAAAGCCGCACUACGUGGACCAGCCGUCGUCGGGAUGGAAGUUCCCACCCCCUUGCGGGGUGUUUCUGCUCCGGAGUUGUGCCAACCUUCCUCUCCCAUCGCAGCUACGUUCCUCCCUUCCUCUUCCGCUGGCUGGGCCGAUGGGAACUGGUCGAGGUUCCAGAUGACCCCCCCCCCCACGAAAGAAAAGGCCGGCGGGGGCCCUUGGAAUCGGGCCUGUGUGUGGCGGAGGCAGCCAAAGUUAAAGACGGGAGCAGUCUGACCAUGUUCUUGUUCACGGUGCACUUUAUAUGAAGAAAACUAAAGAAGGAGAAAAGAAAGGAAGAGUCCUACUGAAGAAAGCACUAGCCUGCUCACACACACUUCUGUCAGGCUGCAGGCGGAAAGAGGAUCGCCAAAAACGCACCAUUCCAUUUCCUUCGGGUGUGGGGGGGGGAGAAACGGGGACUUUGCGGCGUUUGGCCUACCCAACCGGCAGCUGCCCCCCCCCUUCCAACAGCCUCCCCUUGGGAUUGAAUUCUCCACCUGCUUUUUGCCUUUUUAUCGUGCGCCCCUCCCUCCAGACACAUUUUAUAGCUACUUUUGGGGGGCGGUGGGGGGAAGUGUAGGAUCGUGCUUGACCGGAACGGAAGGCCGAGUUCACCAUCCGACGUUUCAAGUCUGUAAUUCAGUACUCUCUGUGUGCGUGUGCGUACGUUGUAUACUUUUUCUUUUUAAUUUUCAAGAAGAAGAAGAAAAAGAGAAGCAUUAUUACAUGGUUUUGUGCCAAUGCCCAUUCUUUUCUUUAGUACCAGAGACACUUUUACAAGUACCAGUGUGGUGAAAAAUUAUUUGGUUAUACUAGUAUAUUAUAAACAGAGAACCUGAUUUAAAAAAAAGAAUAACAUUUAAACGUCCUAUUUAAAAAGAAUAUAAAAAUGCUGUUUUUAAAAACCUUUUUUUUUUUGUCAUUUUGAACUUGCAUGUGGUGUUAACACGUGGGGGCAGGGUGGGCAAAGGAGGGGAUUUGGAAUUGCGUGGCCCGGGGUUGGUAUUCCCCCCCCCCCCUUUGUGUUCCUGUCUCGCACUCCCGACGGCGAGGAGGAGGAGGAGGAGGAGGAGGAGGCAGAGGCUGGGUUUCUCGGAACACUUGAAUUCGUUCAUCUGCUGGGUGCUGACCCUCCUUAUUUUAGAAGUACCUGAUGGGAAAUUGAUUUUCAUAGCUUUCUCCUGAAUAAAUUGUUUGAAAUUGGAAUAAAAUUCAUUCCUUACAAAAA